GGGGCUAAAGUAAGUACCGAAGCUGUAGACUUGCGCACAACUUAGAUUAUUUAAGUUUAGAAUAUGAGAAACUAAGUUAUGUUUAGUUAUAUUUUUACUGAUUUUUAUAGAGUAAAGAUAGAAAUAAAACUUAGUAAAAUCAGUAAAAAUAUUCUUAGGCUAAAGUUAAGUAGUUUAAGUUGUGUGCAAGUGGUAGGAGAGCGUUCUAUUUGCGUCGAA
rnacentral:rRNA from 1 species